UACGUAGGGCGCAAGCGUUGUCCGGAAUUAUUGGGCGUAAAAGAGCUCGUAGGCGGUCUGUCGCGUCGGAUGUGAAAAGCCCGGGGCUUAACCCCCGGGUCUGCAUUCGAUACGGGCAGACUAGAGUGUGGUAGGGGGAGAUCGGAAUUCCUGGUGUAGCGGUGAAAUGCGCAGAUAUCAGGAGGAACACCGGUGGCGAAGGCGGUCUGCUGGGCAGUUGCUGACACUGAGGCGCGACAGCGUGGGGAGCAAACAGG
rnacentral:rRNA from 1 species